AUGGCACCAACACUGCUGUCCCCAGUGCCUGCUUGUUGCCCCCAGCCACCCUCUGGUGGCUUCACCUGGGGCCCCCACCUCUGCCCUACAGCACCAUGCCCACAUUCCACAUCGCUCGCUUUAUUCAGCCCCAUGCACCGCGGCGCCCAGCAGUCCCUGUGUGAGCACUCAGCAUGCCCCAAAAUGUUCAGUAUCCCUGGGGAGGAGCAGCACGGGGCUCCUGGCAUCACCCCACAGCCCCUCACGUGCCCAGCUCCCUGCGCAGCUUCAGGAUUUCCAGGAGGAGCUUCUCCUUUUCCAGCACGAUCUUCUCCUUCUGCAGUUGCAGGGUCUCCUUCUGCAGCUCCAGGAUCUCGGUGUGCAGCCGCCUCUGCUUUUCUGACAGCUCCUCGGAGGCCGCUGUGCCACCUGCACGGAGCGAGGGAAGGCGUUAGGGCUGGGAGGGGAGUGAGGAUGGGCUGGGGGUUUCGGAGAGGGCAAAAGGGGAGAUAUCACCAAACUGCUGCAGCAAUGCUGCCCGGAGUGGAUGUAGAACUUCACUCCGUUGUUGGGAACGGGACCGGGAACCCCGGCACGGACUGGGGGCUGCUCACCGUUGUCGUGCGGGGGCUCCGGGGGCCCGGGGCUGCCCGUUCCCAGCGAUGCGGGACUCGCCAUGGCCUCGAGGCACGGCCACGCCAGCGCGGGGCUCGGCGGGCACUUGACGCGGGGCGGCUCGUGGUCGCCAGGCGGAGGUCCGGGGGCUGUGCCCUGCGGCGGGGCGGCCCGGGGGGCGGCCGGUCCGGGAGGGGGCUGCAGUCUGUUCCCCGCGGCGGGCAGCGGCCGCUCCUUGGGGCCGGGGAAGCGGUCCGGAGCAGGGCCGUGCGGCAGCAGCUCGGGGGCGGCCGCGGGCAGCCCGAAGGACGGGGCGGGCGGAGGGCCGGGCUUGUUGAAGAGGGCGAAGAUGUGAUGGAAGAGCCGCUCCUGCGGCCGCUGGCGGAGCAGCGGGUGCUUGUCGGCGGCCAGCUCCCGGCGCGCGUCCAGCACCAUGUUAUGCCACUUCUUGCGGAUCUCCUCGGCCGUGCGCCGCACCACCGGGCUCAGCGCGUUGACGGCGGCCGCGAUCUCCUCCCACGCCCGCUGCCGGUCCUGCGUGUUGCGGUAGCGGCCGCUCUUGGGGAUGAGGAUGUCCUUGCGGAGGCUGAACUCCUCCAGGAUGAGGAAUUUCUCCUCCUCCGAGAACUUGAUGCGCUUCGGCUUGGCCGCGCUCAUGCCGCCCUGCGACGGGGAGAGGGGCUCAGGGAGGUCCCCCCGCCCCGUACUCCCGCGUCCCCGCGUCCGCCGCCCCCGGCGCUCACCUUCCUCCGGGCCGGGCCGCCGCGGGAAGCGGAUGUGCCGCGUCCUGUGCCGCGCCGGGGCGGGGCCGGUACCGGGGCGGAGCAGCGGGAGCCCCGCGGAGCUCGGACGGACGCGCUGAGCCCGCAACCUCCCCCCGCAACCCCCGGCAAUGAGAGGCUUCUACGGCGCGGCUGCUGCGGGUCUCUUUAUUUGAUACAGAAACCCGGGCUGGAUACAAAAUACAGCUAA
rnacentral:lncRNA from 1 species